GUAUCCAAUAUAAUUUGAUAGUUUUGUAUUAUUAUUAUUAUUUUAAUUUUUAAAAGAAUUUUAAAAAAAAUAUUUUAUGUUUUUAUUAAUUUUUAUGAAUAAAUAAGGUAUAAUUAUAGCGAAUUAAGUAUUGUGAAAGAAUUAUUUAUUUAUAUAAAAAGAAAAUUUAAUUUUUUGUACCUUGUGUAUCAGGGCUUAUUAAUUAAAAUUUAUUUAUUUAAAUUUCUCGAAUUUAAAAGAGCUAUGAAAAUAUAUCUUUUAUUGUAGAAUAAAUAUUGUUAAUAUUUUUAUAGAAGUGAAAUGCUAUUCGAUUUUAAAUAUAUCUAGUUUUUUAAGAAAAAAAUUUAAUUUGAUUUUUAUUUUAUUAUUAAAUUUAGUUUUUAAUUUAAUAAUACUAAAAUUUUAUAUUACAGGGGAUGAGCUUUGUAAUAAAAUUAUAUAAUUUAUAUAACAAAUUUUAGUAAGUAGGAUUAUUAGUUUUUAUCUUUAUUAGUGUAUUAUAACUAGCUAAAAUUUUAUUAAGAUUUUUAUAUUAAUUUAUAUUUUUUAUUGAAAUAAAAGGUUUAAUUUUUGUAUUUUAGGAAUUAUGAUAAAAUUAGUAUAAAUAAUUUGUUUACUUUUAUUAUAAAUUAAAGGUUAAGUAAAGGAACUCGGCAAAUAUAUUUUUCACCUGUUUAAUAAAAACAUGGCUUUUUGAUUAUAAUUUAAGGUCUAGCCUGCCCAAUGAUGUAGAGUUAAAUGGCUGCGGUAUACUGACCGUGCAAAGGUAGCAUAAUCAUUAGUUUUUUAAUUGAAAGCUUGUAUGAAAGGUUGGAUGAGAGAAUAACUGUCUCUAUUUAAAUUUUUUAGAAUUUUAUUUUUAAGUAAAAAAGCUUAAAUUUCUAUUGAAGACGAGAAGACCCUAUAGAGUUUUAUAAUUUUUUGAAAGGGGGGGAUUUUUAGAAUCUAUAUUUUUUUCUUUUGAAAAAUUAUUUAGUUGGGGUGAUUGAAAAAUUUAAUAAACUUUUUUUUAAUUAGACCAUUGAUUUAUGAGUACAUGAUCCUUAAUUUAAAGAUUAAAAGAACAAAUUACCUUAGGGAUAACAGCGUAAUUUUUUUUUAGAGUUCAAAUCGAAAAAAAAGGUUGCGACCUCGAUGUUGGAUUAAAAUUAAUUUUUGGUGUAGAAGCUAAAAGAUUAGGUCUGUUCGACCUUUAAAAUUUUACAUGAUCUGAGUUUAAACCGGUGUGAGCCAGGUUGGUUUCUAUCUCUAUAAAAUUAAAAUAUUUUAGUACGAAAGGACCAAGUAUUUAGUUUAAAAUUUAUUUUUAGAACAAUAUUAUUAUUUUGGCAGAUUAGUGCAAUGGAUUUAGAAUCUUUAUAAGUAAUU
rnacentral:rRNA from 1 species